CAGACUUGACAUCCCGAGACCGCCUGUGAAAGCAGGUUUCCUCUUCGGAGGCUCGGUGACAGGUGUUGCAUGGCUGUCAUCAGCUCGUGUCGUGAGAUGUUGGGUUAAGUCCCGCAACGAGCGCAACCCUUGUCCUUAGUUACCAGCGGUUCGGCCGGGCACUCUAGGGAGACUGCCGGUGAUAAACCGGAGGAAGGUGGGGACGACGUCAAGUCAUCACGGCCCUUACGUCUGGGGCUACACACGUGCUACAAUGGCCGGUACAGUGAGACGCAAUACCGCGAGGUGGAGCAAAUCUCAAAAAGCCGGUCUCAGUUCGGAUUGGAGUCUGCAACUCGACUCCAUGAAGU
rnacentral:rRNA from 1 species